AGGUGAAUCGCCGCGGCAGCAGCCGUGGGAGCGGGCUGGGCUCGGGCGCUGCCGCCUCAAGGGCCGCCGAGGAAGGGUCCCUCGGCCGCUCCCGGCUCCGGCUCCCCCCUGGAUGCUGGACGGAGUAAAUGAGCGGAGGAAGAGCGAGCGCACGGAGGCUGAGAGGCGCUCGGAGACCGGGACCCGGGGAGACGGGCGGGCGGCUGGCAUCCCCCGCCGGGGCUCAGCAUGGAUUCCCGAGCGCUCGGGGGCUUCGCUCUGCUGCUCUUCAGUUUUUGGCACCUGGGAUUAACUGCCACAAAUUAUAAUUGUGAUGAUGCAUUGGUAUCUCCCUUGCCUUCAACAGCACUUACCAGUUCCUCUGAGCUCUUCAGUACUCACAGUCCCAGCUUUGCAAAACUCAACAGGAGAGAUGGAGCUGGUGGCUGGUCUCCGCUAGACUCAAAUGAGCAGCAGUGGCUCCAGGUUGAUCUGGGAGACAGAGUGGAGAUUGUUGCGGUCGCUACCCAGGGCAGAUACGGGAGCUCUGACUGGGUGACCAGCUAUACGCUGAUGUUCAGUGACACUGGCCGAAACUGGAAACAGUACAGACAAGAUGACACCAUCUGGGUUUUCACAGGGAACAGCAAUGCUGACAGUGUGGUUCACCACAAAUUUCUGCACUCCGUGAAAGCCCGCUUCUUGCGCUUUGUCCCUCUGAAGUGGAAUGUUGGUGGUCGGAUAGGACUGAGGGUUGAGGUCUUCGGCUGCUCCUAUAAGUCAGAUAUUGCAGACUUCAAUGGCAGAAGUUCACUCCUCUACAGGUUCAAUCAGAAGCUUAUGAGCACAUUCAAAGAUGUGGUUUCCUUGAAGUUCAAGAGUAUGCAGGGGGAUGGAGUCUUGUUCCAUGGAGAAGGACAGCGUGGAGACUACAUUACCUUGGAACUGCAGAAAGGAAAGCUCUCCUUGCACAUCAACCUGGGGGACUCCAACCUCCACUUCAGUAAUAGCCACACAUCCAUCACCCUGGGCAGCCUCCUGGACGACCAGCACUGGCACUCGGUUCUCAUAGAGCGCUUCAACAAGCAAGUGAACUUCACAGUGGACAAACACACCCAGCAUUUCCGAACAAAGGGGGAUUCAGAUCACUUGGAUAUUGAUUAUGAGCUCAGUUUCGGAGGGAUUCCUGUCCCAGGAAAGCCAGGAACCUUUCAAAGGAAAAAUUUCCAUGGAUGCAUUGAGAACCUUUAUUACAACGGAGUCAAUAUAAUUGACCUGGCAAAAAGGCGCAAACCUCAGAUCUAUACUGUGGGGAAUGUUACCUUUUCCUGCUCAGAACCACAAGUUGUUCCUAUCACCUUUCUUAGUGCCAAUCGAAGUUUCUUGCAACUACCUGGUACUCCUCAAAUUGAUGGUUUGUCAGUCAGCUUCCAGUUUCGAACAUGGAAUAAAGACGGCUUACUUAUGUUCACUGAAUUAUCUGAAAAUUCAGGACCUCUCUUGGUUUACCUUCAUAGUGGGAGAUUGACACUACUUAUUCAGAAAGAGACAGAGAACCCAGUGGAAAUCAGUGAAGGCACCAAUCUCCACGAUGGGCUUUGGCAUUCUGUUAACAUCAAUGCCAGAAGACAUCGCAUCACCCUGACACUGGACAACAACGCUGCCAGUGCUAGCCAUGCAACCACAGUUGCAAGGAUUUACUCUGGAAACAGCUACUAUUUCGGAGGGUGCCCGGACAAUUUCACUGAUUCCCAAUGUUUAAAUUCCAUUACUGCUUUUCAAGGCUGUAUGAGGCUCAUCUUUAUUGAUAACCAGCCCAAGGACCUCAUUUUAGUUCAGCAAGGCUCCCUGGGGAAUUUUAGUGAUUUACACAUUGAUCUGUGUGGCAUCAAAGACAGGUGUUUACCCAACUACUGUGAACAUGGAGGAAAAUGCUCUCAGUCCUGGUCUACUUUUUACUGUGAUUGCAAUGAUACAGGCUACAUGGGAGCUACCUGUCAUAACUCUAUCUAUGAACAAUCUUGUGAGGCUUAUCGACACCAGGGGAAGACAUCUGGUUUCUUCUACAUCGAUUCUGAUGGAAGUGGACCCCUUGGACCACUCCGUGUUUUUUGCAAUAUAACAGAAGAUAAGAUCUGGACUGCAGUGCAGCACAACAACACAGGGCUAACCAGAGUCCAAGGAGUUGAUCCAGAGAAGCCGUACACCGUGUCCUUUAACUACAACAGCAGUGCAGAGCAGCUUGAAGCCAUGAUAAACAGUGCAGAGUACUGCGAACAGGAGGCAGCCUACCACUGCAAAAAGUCACGUCUCCUAAACACCCCGAAUGGAAUGCCAUUUGCUUGGUGGGUUGGCCGUGCCAAUGAAAAGCAUCUUUACUGGGGAGGAUCUCUUCCGGGCAUUCAGCAGUGUGCAUGUGGACUGGAAGAAAGUUGUCUGGAUAUGAGAUAUUUUUGCAACUGUGACGCAGAUAGAGAAGAAUGGACAAAUGAUACCGGCCUCCUUACUUACAAAGACCAUUUGCCUGUAUCUCAGAUAGUGGUCACUGACACAAACAGAUCAAAUUCUGAGGCUGCCUGGAAAAUCGGCCCUUUGCGUUGCUAUGGAGACAGGCAGUUCUGGAAUGCCGCAUCCUUCAACACUGAAGCCUCCUACCUGCAUUUCCCCACCUUCCAUGCCGAGGUCAGCGCGGACAUCUCCUUCUUCUUCAAAACUACUGCUGUCUCCGGGGUAUUCUUGGAAAACCUUGGGAUUAAAGACUUCAUACGAGUUGAAAUAAGCUCCCCCAAAGAGAUCACGUUCUCCGUAGAUGUUGGGAAUGGCCCCACAGAAGCCACUGUACAGUCUCCCACACCCCUGAAUGACAACCAGUGGCACUAUGUCCGAGCAGAGAGGAACCUCAAGCAAACAUCUCUCCAAGUGGACAACCUCCCCAAGAAAGUCCUGGAGGCACCUGCUGAGGGGCACUUCCGCUUGCAGCUUAACAGCCAGUUAUUUGUAGGUGGAACAGCUUCCAGACAAAAGGGCUUUUUGGGAUGCAUUCGCUCUCUGCAUUUAAAUGGACAGAAACUUGACCUUGAAGAGAGAGCUAAAAUGACACCUGGUGUUAAACCUGGAUGUCCAGGACAUUGCAGCAGUUAUGGUAACCUGUGCCAUAAUGGAGGAAAAUGUGUGGAGAAAUAUAAUGGUUACUCUUGUGAUUGUACCAACUCAGCCUAUGAAGGACCAUUUUGCAAGGAAGAGGUUUCUGCGUUAUUUGAAGCCGGCACUUCCAUUACCUAUGUUUUCCAAGAACCUUAUCCUGUCACAAAAAAUGCAAGCACUUCAAGCUCUGCCAUUUAUGCCGAUGCUGUCAUGUCCAAGGAAAAUAUUGCAUUUAGCUUUCUCACGGCACAUACUCCAAGCCUUCUGCUGUACAUUAACACCUACUUUCAUGAAUAUUUGGCUGUGAUUCUCUCCAAGAAUGGAAGUUUACAGGUUCGAUACAAGCUGAGUAAGGAUGGGCUCCUUAUUUUCACCAUUGACUCUGGAAAUUUUGCCAACCGACAGCUGCAUCAUGUGAAGAUUAACAGAGAAGGCAGAGAGCUCAUCAUUCAGGUUGAUCAAGUUCUCAAACUCAAACACAACUUCUCUGAAAUUGAUUUCAAGGCCAUCAAAUCGCUCACCUUGGGCAAGGUCACAGAUAGUUUGUCACUGGACCCCGAAGUCGCAAAGGCAAAUGCCUAUGGUUUCACUGGUUGUCUGUCCUCUGUUCAGUACAACCACAUUGCUCCCUUGAAAGCUGCCUUACGCCAUCCCAGUAUUGCUCCCGUGACUGUCAAAGGCUCCUUGUCCGAAUCCAGCUGUGCAUCCAUAAUGGAAGCUGAUGUGAACACAGUAACCACAAUAUAUUCCUCAUCAGAUCCUUUUGGGAAGACAGAUGAAAGGGAGCCUCUCAGCAAUGCAGUCAGAAGCGAUUCAGCUGUAAUUGGAGGUGUAAUAGCAGUUGUGAUAUUCAUCAUCUUUUGCAUCAUUGCCAUCAUGAGCAGAUUCCUCUAUCAGCACAAACAAGCACAUCGAAAUAGUCAGACAAAGGAGAAGGAAUACCCAGAAAAUCUCGAGAGCUCCUUUAAAGCUGACAUUGACUUGCAGAACACAGUGAGCGAGUGCAAGCGGGAAUAUUUCAUAUGAUGGACAAUGCAAUUUCUUCUUACUCUAACUCUCCUAACCUUACUUCCUUUCUUCCUUCCUUUUUGCUUUUUGUAAAUUUUUUUAAAACAUUCAUUUUUUGCUAACUUCCUUUUCAUUUGGAAAUGACCGCCCUUCACAGGAAACAACUGACAAAAAUCACAGUGCCUCAUUCUCUGCACAAGAACCUGGCAGUCACAGAUUACUUCUGCAGUUCAAGAAACCUGUUAUCCCACCUUACACACAAUAAGAUCCACAUGCACACCUGGUGUCUGCUAAAGCAGCACUUUGCAAAAGACGAGCUGAGACCUUGUGAGGCUUAUUCUAAGACAACUGCUAUUUCAAAGCUUUCAUGUAUUUAUCAAACAAGCCAAGUGAUACAGUUACAUCCCUGGCAAACCAAGGGCCUUACCCUGAGUCUUUUGAGGUUGGUGGGAGGCCUCUUGGUUUAAUACAGUUAGAGUCGCUCCAUGCUCUUGGGAAGUUCGGGGGUUUUCUUCACAAGUUACUUUCUUCACAGCUUCAAAGCAUGAUUUGUUUCUUUUGGGUCUACGCUUUCCUGCACUUUCUUUUCCAAUGAAAAUUUCUCUGCAUCCCCUUUUGGUACGGGCAGCCCGCUCCUCAGUGCUCCUUUUGUACAUGAAACUUCAAAACACACACUCUUCUUUUGGGUCUGAAACAGCUGUUUUCUUUUGUUAUUUAUUUUGAGUCAUGCAUAUAGGGGUUUGGAUAUUUCUAUGUGUUGGUAUUUAUUUUUGUGACCUUUUGCACUAAGUUACUCUGACAAAAACAAAAACUGGAAAAAAGCACACUUUCUGGUGAACUAUUGUAAUUUGUAAGCUCGUUGUUUGUUGUUUGUAACGUACUGAGUCUACAAGCCGAGCUAAGGAAGGAUUAAGGCGACAGUUUGUGUUGACAGUGUCACUCCAUAUCUAGUUCACCUCUGUUUCCUUUUUCUCUCCUUUUUUUCUUUAAUACAUGGGUCUAUAAAAUUGUUGGUAGGAGGCAGAGGAACUUGUGUCAUGAUUCUAACUAAGAUUAUGAUUUUUCUCCUAGAAGUGAUAGAAACUAGAAAUUUGAAGAAAUCACAUGAUUCUCAAAUUGUCAGCCAGGUGUUCAGCCAGAGCAGAAACUGUACCAUGGAGAUGUAGUCACCAAGAGGUGGUAACCUGUAAAAGGUGUGGAGACAUUAAUUCUCCAAAUUAAAACUGUGAUGAAGCAGUACAGGAGGCAAAAGCUCUCAGAAUGGUUAUGCUAUUGAAACCAUGCAUGGUAACCAUCAGGUGAACAUGAGAGUUUCAGGUCUUUUCCCAUGAUUCAUUUUUGUGAUGGAAUGAAUCACUCAUUAGCCUGCCAACACAUAGUCUUAAUUGUCCUGAUGAUCUGCAAAGUAUCAUUAGAGAUGUGGUUCAACCAUGAGAGAAGAUUUCAAACCUCUGGCUGGUACUAACCUGAAUUUCUCCAGUUAGACCACUGGAGCUCUCCCUGAUACCCCAAAGAUGAAUUGGGGAUGAUUUCCUCAAACAAUUUAGAAUUAAUGAAAUGUUGGGUAGGUACAUUUCCGAAGAAUGGUGUUUGUUUAAAGACUCUCCUUUCCCCAUCCCUUCCUCACUUAGAAUGCUUGUGGCAGCUUAUUUCUGAACUACUGACUGCUUCUUCAUAUGACAGUCAUCACUAUCCAUGGAUUUCAAUCCCACAACCCUAAGGAGAGUCUGUCUGAUAUGAUUUCUAUGCAGGAAAUAAUUUACUCACUUUUGCAUGCCAUACCCUUUACGGUUCCUUCUUACAUCAUUUAGGCAAACCAUUUUCUGAUGUGUUUUGUCAUUGCUGCCACUGCUGAGCAUGCAUAUUGUUAAGAAAGAAAACUGAUUGCUUCUGAGGUAGAGUUUAAGCAAAACCAGCUGCAGCCUCAUAUCCCACUUGCAGCACAGUGGAGUACUCUGAAACCCAAGCCCACUCCCUGAAAUUUCAGGUAGAGGUUUGGAGAGUAAGCAGGUAUGUGUUUUUUCAGGCAUCUGGACUUACCUACUCUGUAACAGACCGUUAUAUCUAAAAGACAGUGCAGAGCUGACCUGCUUUGAAACUCAUUUUGUGAAAGAAACAGAGCCAGCUUCAGACCUCCUCGUAAUCCUGUUGAGGUCACUGUAGACAGAUUGCAGAUGAAUUUAGCCUCAGAUUGCCCUAGACAAGGGCAGUGAUGAUCUCCUGCAAACUGAGGCUGACAGAUAUGAAUUCAAGUCAGGACCUUGUAUUUGUCAUCCCCUACUGCUGUCAACAGGAGUUGCAUUCACUGCAAUUAUGUGUGUCUUCUAGCAGAACCGUGGAUAAAACUUGGGAUAAGGCAAUGAACUUCAGCUCCACUUAAACCCAUGACAUGGCUUAAGUCACCUUCAGGAGUUUCUGGAGAUGUUUGUAGGGAGAAGGGUGGUCUGUGGAUGGUGUGUUGUCAACUAACUUUGGAGCUCACCCACGGACUUUGAAAGGAUUUUAUAGGCUUUUAAUGGAGUCCACCCCAGGAAGAAUGUGGUGAACUGUGUCCUACUUGAAAAAUGAAGGUACCCUAAAGAGAAAAAAACCCUAAACCACCAGCUUCACAGGCUCUGAAAGCUAGCUGAGAUUAAACACUUAUAAUAAUAAAAAAUUGACUCUUUCUACAGUUGAGCCCUUCAUCAUUCAUUUUACUUUGUUCUACUCAAAUUAUAUUAAAUAAAUCUCCCAGAACGCUGCUCAUUUCAGUAGCAAAGCAAGAAAAAAAAAGCUUGUUUUCUUUUAAUCGUCUGUCCAAGGGUAAUGCAAGAGUCUCUCAGUUACAGUAAAAAGCAAAUCAGAGAUUUAGAUUAUUCCUCUUUCACUCUCUGGUUUUCUAAAGAGAAUGCCACAGGACGUUGCCUCAGUCCAAGUCAGUUUUGUAGACAAUGUAUCAUGUCUUAAUACACUGUUCGGGGACUGAAAAAAAUUAGCCUUAGCUUCUUUUGUUUUCUAUGGUUACUGUUGUACAGAAGAAAAACUUAAACUGUAAAUAAUGUAUAUUUAAUAAAAAGAGACUUUUUGUAUGA